rnacentral:rRNA from 1 species
UACGAAGGGGGCUAGCGUUGCUCGGAAUCACUGGGCGUAAAGGGUGCGUAGGCGGGUCUUUAAGGCAGGGGUGAAAUCCUGGAGCUCAACUCCAGAACUGCCUUUGAUACUGAGGAUCUUGAGUACGGGAGAGGUGAGUGGAACUGCGAGUGUAGAGGUGAAAUUCGUAGAUAUUCGCAAGAACACCAGUGGCGAAGGCGGCUCACUGGCCCGUAACUGACGCUGAGACGCGAAAGCGUGGGGAGCAAACAGG